rnacentral:rRNA from 1 species
UGGGGAAUAUUGGGCAAUGGGGGAAACCCUGACCCAGCAACGCCGCGUGAGUGAAGAAGGUUUUCGGAUUGUAAAGCUCUGUCCUGUGUGAAGAAGAAAGUGACGGUAACACAGGAGGAAGCCCCGGCUAACUACGUGCCAGCAGCCGCGGUAAUACGUAGGGGGCGAGCGUUGUCCGGAAUUACUGGGCGUAAAGGGUGCGUAGGCGGCCUAUUAAGUUUCAUGUGAAAUACCCAGGCUUAACUUGGGGGAGCCAUGAAAAACUGGUAGGCUUGAGUGCAGGAGAGGUAAGUGGAAUUCCUAGUGUAGCGGUGAAAUGCGUAGAUAUUAGGAGGAACACCAGUGGCGAAGGCGACUUACUGGACUGCAACUGACGCUGAGGCACGAAAGCGUGGGGAGCAAACAGG